UACAGAGGGUGCGAGCGUUGUCCGGAAUCACUGGGCGUAAAGGGCGCGUAGGCGGCUUGAUAAGCGUGCGGUGAAAGCCCGGGGCUCAACCCCGGGUCGGCCGUGCGAACUGUCGAGCUGGAGCACUGUAGAGGCAGGUGGAAUUCCGGGUGUAGCGGUGGAAUGCGUAGAGAUCCGGAAGAACACCGGUGGCGAAGGCGGCCUGCUGGGCAGUUGCUGACGCUGAGGCGCGACAGCGUGGGGAGCAAACAGG
rnacentral:rRNA from 1 species